UACGGGGGGGUAAGCGUUGUUCGGAUUCACUGGGCGUAAAGGGUGCGUAGGUGGUGAGGUAAGUCGGAUGUGAAAGCUCGGAGCUCAACUCCGAAAUGGCAUCGGAAACUACCUUGCUCGAGGGUUGGAGGGGGACUGGAAUACUUGGUGGUAGCAGUGAAAUGCGUAGAUAUCAAGUGGAACACCAGUGGCGAAGGCGAGUCCCUGGACAACUCCUGACCACUGAGGCACGAAAGCUAGGGGAGCAAACAGG
rnacentral:rRNA from 1 species